CUCAGAUGACGCUUCCUUCCUUUCAUUUGCCCUGAGAAACAAUAAGGCAUCUACCAAUCACAGACGUUAUCUGAAACAAGCAAAGUGGCAAGCUGCCUAAAAGUAUAUAUACUGUUACCUAUUUCUUUAAAAAGUUUCCUGAAGGUGGAUGUAAAAUACCGCCUGCAGUGAGUAAAACGGAAAUCACAGAAGGUGUAUCAAGGGGUGAAACAGAGACAGAGAAGAGAGGGCUUCAAGGACCAGCUUGGCGUUUGGGGAAGGCAGCUCUGAAGAGUUCAGCACAGGUUAUCUUUCGAAGUCUAAACUUGCAGAAGCCUACAAAAUCCUACUGAGGUUCUAUGUGCAGCCCUUCUUGAAUGAGGAAACCUGUUCGCCCACCGUCGAUUUUGGUUUGUGAGAACAUGGCUGGAUUUAUGGCUGUACGAGACUCCGGCCUGUGGUCGAGAUUCCGGGGCCCAAAGAAGGAUGAGAGGAACUGUGGCCAAUGGGCAACUCACUG
ensembl:lncRNA